UGGUGCAUGGUUGUCGUCAGCUCGUGUCGUGAGAUGUUGGGUUAAGUCCCGCAACGAGCGCAACCCUUAUCUUCAGUAGCCAGCAGGCAAAGCCGGGCACUCUGGAGAGACUGCCGGGGAUAACCCGGAGGAAGGUGGGGAUGACGUCAAAUCAUCAUGCCCCUUAUGAUUUGGGCUACACACGUGCUACAAUGGCGUAAACAGAGGGAAGCGAGCCCGCGAGGGGGAGCAAAUCCCAAAAAUAACGUCCCAGUUCGGAUUGUAGUCUGCAACCCGACUACAUGAAGCUGGAAUCGCUAGUAAUCGCGGAUCAGAAUGCCGCGGUGAAUACGUUCCCGGGUCUUGUACACACCGCCCGUCACACCAUGGGAGUCGGAAAUGCCCGAAGUCUGUGACCUAACCGCAAGGGAGGAGCAGCCGAAGGCAGGUCGGAUGACUGGGGUGAAGUCGUAACAAGGUAGCCGUAUCGGAAGGUGCGGUUGGAUCACCUC
rnacentral:rRNA from 1 species